UAGGGAAUCUUCCACAAUGGACGAAAGUCUGAUGGAGCAACGCCGCGUGAGUGAAGAAGGUUUUCGGAUCGUAAAGCUCUGUUGUUGGUGAAGAAGGAUAUAGGCAGUAACUGGUCUUUAUUUGACGGUAAUCAACCAGAAAGUCACGGCUAACUACGUGCCAG
rnacentral:rRNA from 1 species